rnacentral:tRNA from 1 species
GGGCUAUAGCUCAGUUGGUAGAGCGUCUCGUUCGCAAUGAGAAGGUCAGCGGUUCGACUCCGCUUAGCUCC